CCUUCAAAACACACGACCUUCCUCCUCCAGGCAAAAAGCCCAGUUACCUCUGGCCUCUGCAGUUUGGCUCAUCACCAGGGAACUUUUGCCUCCUUUGAGACCAAGACACCACUCCGGUAACAGCUCCAGGGACUGAACCAAGGUGCCUGUGACCUAUAUGGGAAGCUCUGGAAAGCUCACCAAACACUUUCCAGAGCUGGACCAAACACUUCACCAAACAAUUCUGCCAGGGCCACAUCUCCCAGGAAGAUCUUGCCUCCCCACUGAAGCCCCUGGUCUGGCCUCCUGCAGUGCCACGCUCCGUGUAUUUGACAAGCUGAGUUGGACACUCCGUGUGGUAGAGUGUCAGUUUGUCAAAUACCCCAAGUGCGGCACAUGCCUAACAGCUCCAGGCCAGGGCAGUUGGGAUACAACAAAUAAAUUGCCAACUGGAUACAAGAUCACUUGCCAAACAUGAACUAAUCUGUCACAAGUUAUUUCCAGUGACUCUGCGGGAACUGAAGCAUUGUAUCUGAGGUUGCCAGGGGAAAAGUGAGGCAACUCUUGAAGCUACAGCCCUGUACUGUUUCUAUAUUGUCAGAGCCUGAGGGGGGCAUAAUGGUCUUGGAAAGGUAUAUAGGGCCCAGGGAUGGACGUGCUCUUUGAUUCAUAUUUCCUUUCUUCACAUUCCUCUACAGAGUCUCCCAGUAAGGACACUAGAACUUUCACACAAGCUUCAUGACAGGGCUUAGAAACCCACUUUCCUGAUAUUCAGCCUUGACUUCUAAAUGCAUUUUGACCUUAUUUAUUUUUUCCUCUUCCUCAUGUCUUUUUUUCCUUCUGGUUAUACUUUCUCCAUUUUUUUUCUGCCUAUUCAAUUAUUUCUCAUACUUCUGGUCCAGCCAAAAUCUAGUCUCUCCAAAGACUUGUGAAAGUUAGCCUACACUUUUUUUCUUCUUCAUUCGAACACUCCUUGCUUUGGUCCUUAUAUGUACCCCUUUCUUCUCCUAUUGCCUAAUAGCACCUCUUAAACUGUUAGUAAACUUUUCCAGGGGAUAUUUUUGAAUUCCCCAGUAAAUUGUGAGGACAGCACUAUGUUUCCUUGAUUGCUGUCUCCCCUUUCCAUCCCUACCUCAGCAUGCAGCUCAGUACUCUGGUUACAGAAAAUAAUAAAUGUUUACUGAUUGAUUGACUUUGUACUA